AUGGAAGGUGUCAAAGAGAGGAAGAAGAAAAAGAAGGUUCCUGCUGUGCCAGAAACCCUUAAGAAAAAGGGAAGCAAUUUCACAGAGCUGAAGAUCAAGCCCCUGAGAAGGAAUUUUGCCCAAAAGAUGCUUCGAAAGACAAGGAAGAAGCUUUUCUAGGAAAAAGCGAAGCACUAUCACAAGGAAUAUAGGCAGAUGGACAGAACUGAAAUUUGAAUGCAAGGAAGGCAAGAAAAGCUAGCAACUUCUAUGCAACUGCAGAACCCAAAUUGGCCUUUGUCAUCAGGAUCUGAGGGGUCAAUGGUGGGAGCCCAAAGGUCCGAAAGGUGUUGCAGCUUCUUCGCCAUUGUCAACUCUCCAAUGGAAGCUUUGUGAAGCUCAAUAAAGCAUCAAUUAACAGGCUGAGGAUUCAGAACCACAUAUCGCAUGGGGGCACCCAAACCUGAAGUCAGUAAAUGAACUAACCUACAAGCGUGGUUAUGACAAAAUCAAUAAGAAGCAAAUUGCUUUGACAGAUAACACUUUGAUUGCUUGAUAAAUAUGUAAAUAUAGCAUCAUCUGCUAUAUAAGGAUCCAAUUCAUGGGACCUGUACUGCUGGAAAAUGAUUUGAAGAAAUAACUUCUCGUAGCCCUUCAAAUUAUCCUCUCCACAAGGUAGAAUGAGGAAAGAGACAACCCAUUUUGUAGAAGGUGGAGAUGCUGGCAACAAGGAGCACCAGAUCAACAGGCUUCUUAGAAGAAUGAACUAA
rnacentral:lncRNA from 10 species